GCUGCCCAAGAUGGAGCCCAGCAGCCGCCAUCUCCAGGCGUCCUUGGCGGGAGGCGCCAUCUUGAAGGAGCGGCCUUUGCUCUGGGACGCCUGGACACUGUGGACACCAUCUGGGGUGCCAAGGAGAGGAUCACCAUUCACCGAAGAGGACAGGGAGGCUCAGCAAGGUUACGCCUGGGGUGGAACCAGGUGACAUCAGAGUAGACAGCAC